rnacentral:rRNA from 1 species
CACCGGCACCGACAAUGUGCAGUGACGGUCAGUGUGAUGAGCUUACCUGAGCCAUUGAGAGGAGGUGCAUGGCCGCCGUCAGCUCGUACCGUGAGGCGUCCUGUUAAGUCAGGCAACGAGCGAGACCCGCAUCCCUAAUUGCCAGCAACACCCAUGUGGUGGUUGGGUACAUUAGGGAGACUGCCGCUGCCAAAGCGGAGGAAGGAACGGGCAACGGUAGGUCAGUAUGCCCCGAAUGUGCCGGGCUACACGCGGGCUACAAUGGCCGAGACAGUGGGACGCUACCCCGAGAGGGGACGCUAAUCUCCUAACCUCGGUCGUAGUUCGGAUUGCGGGUUGAAACCCACCCGCAUGAAGCUGGAUUCGGUAGUAAUCGCAUUUCAGAAGAGUGCGGUG